CCUACGGGAGGCAGCAGUAAGGAAUAUUGGUCAAUGGAGGAAACUCUGAACCAGCCAUCCCGCGUGAAGGAUGAAGGGGCUCUGCCUUGUAAACUUCUUUUGUCUGGGGCGAAAAAGCCUGAUUUAUCAGGAACUGACGGUACCAGAAGAAUAAGCACCGGCUAACUCCGUGCCAGCAGCCGCGGUAAUACGUAGGGUGCGAGCGUUAAUCGGAAUUACUGGGCGUAAAGCGUGCGCAGGCGGUUUUGUAAGCCAGAUGUGAAAUCCCCGGGCUCAACCUGGGAAUGGCAUUUGGGACUGCAAGGCUGGAGUGUGGCAGAGGGGACUAGAAUUCCUGGUGUAGCAGUGAAAUGCGUAGAUAUCAGGAGGAAUACCGAUGGCGAAGGCAGGUCCCUGGGUUAACACUGACGCUCAUGCACGAAAGCGUGGGGAGCAAACAGGAUUAGAUACCCUGGUAGUCCACGCCCUAAACGAUGUCGACUGGUUGUUGGGGGUUGACACUCUCAGUAACGAAGCUAACGCGUGAAGUCGACCGCCUGGGGAGUACGGCCGCAAGGUUAAACUCAAAGGAAUUGACGG
rnacentral:rRNA from 1 species